GACGAACUGUCCUAACGUUGUUCGGAUUUACUGGGCGUAAAGGGCGCGUAGGCGGCCACCGCAAGUCAAUUGUGAAAUCUCCGGGCUUAACUCGGAAAGGUCAACUGAUACUGCGGGGCUAGAGUGCGGAAGGGGCAACUGGAAUUCUCGGUGUAGCGGUGAAAUGCGUAGAUAUCGAGAGGAACACCUGCGGCGAAGGCGGGUUGCUGGGCCGACACUGACGCUGAUGCGCGAAAGCCAGGGGAGCGAACGGG
rnacentral:rRNA from 1 species